UACGUAGGGUCCGAGCGUUGUCCGGAUUUAUUGGGCGUAAAGAGCUCGUAGGUGGUUCGGUAAGUCGGGUGUUAAACCCCCAGGCUCAACCUGGGGACGCCACUCGAUACUGCUGUGACUAGAGUCCGGUAGGGGAGCGUGGAAUUCCUGGUGUAGCGGUGAAAUGCGCAGAUAUCAGGAGGAACACCAGCGGCGAAGGCGGCGCUCUGGGCCGGUACUGACACUGAGGAGCGAAAGCGUGGGUAGCAAACAGG
rnacentral:rRNA from 1 species